rnacentral:RNase_P_RNA from 1 species
GAUAAAUGAUCGCGGCUGGCAGGCCGAAAGGCGCCAGACGAGGAAAGUCCGGGCUUCACAGGGCAGGGUGCCGGAUAACAUCCGGUGGAGGUGACUCCAAGGACAGUGCAACAGAAAUGAACCGCCGACAUUAGGUCGGUAAGGGUGGAAGGGCAGUGUAAGAGACUACCGCCCUCCCGGUAACGGGAGGGGCAUAUGUAAACCCCAUCCGAAGCAAGACCGCAACGAAGCAUAUGGCGGCCCGUCAGCUUCAGGUAGGUCGCUUGAGCCUGUCGGCAACGACAGGCCUGGAUAGAUGAUCAUUCACGACAUAACCCGGCUUAUCGUCCUGCUUAU